AACACAUGCAAGUCGAACGGGAAUUACUUUAUUGAAACUUCGGUCGAUUUAAUUUAAUUCUAGUGGCGGACGGGUGAGUAACGCGUGGGUAACCUGCCUUAUACAGGGGGAUAACAGUCAGAAAUGGCUGCUAAUACCGCAUAAGCGCACAGAGCUGCAUGGCUCAGUGUGAAAAACUCCGGUGGUAUAAGAUGGACCCGCGUUGGAUUAGCUGGUUGGUGGGGUAACGGCCCACCAAGGCGACGAUCCAUAGCCGGCCUGAGAGGGUGAACGGCCACAUUGGGACUGAGACACGGCCCAGACUCCUACGGGAGGCAGCAGUGGGGAAUAUUGCACAAUGGGGGAAACCCUGAUGCAGCGACGCCGCGUGAAGGAAGAAGUAUCUCGGUAUGUAAACUUCUAUCAGCAGGGAAGAUAGUGACGGUACCUGACUAAGAAGCCCCGGCUAACUACGUGCCAGCAGCCGCGGUAAUACGUAGGGGGCAAGCGUUAUCCGGAUUUACUGGGUGUAAAGGGAGCGUAGACGGUGUGGCAAGUCUGAUGU
rnacentral:rRNA from 1 species